rnacentral:rRNA from 1 species
GACGUAGGGCGCGAGCGUUGUCCGGAUUUAUUGGGCGUAAAGAGCUCGUAGGCGGUUUGUCGCGUCGUUCGUGAAAACUCACAGCUUAACUGUGAGCUUGCGGUCGAUACGGGCAGGCUAGAGUUCGGUAGGGGAGACUGGAAUUCCUGGUGUAGCGGUGAAAUGCGCAGAUAUCAGGAGGAACACCAAUGGCGAAGGCAGCUCGCUGGGACGGUACUGACGCUGAGGCGCGAAAGCGUGGGGAGCAAACAGG